GCCCAUAUGGCGAAAUUGGUAGACGCGGUAGACUCAAAAUCUACUUUUAGCAAUAAAGUGCUGGUUCGAGUCCGGCUAUGGGCA
rnacentral:tRNA from 1 species